UACAGGACCGUACUUCCAAGAUGC
rnacentral:siRNA from 1 species